rnacentral:lncRNA from 1 species
CCCUUCCUCUCCACUUGCAACCUGUCCCUGAGAGGCCCGCGGCGUCUCCGCUUCGCCUCACCACCCACCACCACCUCCUCAUCCAGCAGCUUUCUCCUUUGCUGCCCCUCCCCUUUGCCGCGGUCAGGGUUGUGCAGCCCCCGCGUUGCAUUGGGGUCCCGUGCCGAUCGCCAGGCCGCGUGAUCCACCCGUGCUCGAGCAAGCGCCUCACGCUCCUCUUCUUCAUCUUCGUUGCGGCCACCUUUGCCUUCUGGGACCGCCAGGCGCUCGUCAGCGAGUACGAGGUGCGCCCCUCUCACCCCACGGGAGGUCCCCUGAUCCGGGAUGGAGAGUUUAGUGACCGGGAUCUGAUUAGCCCUGUCGCGCCUUGCUUUGCAUUUCGAUUUGUCGCCAGUCUGAUUUGUAGCUGGAUCUGGUUAAUUGAAAACGGGUGGCAUGGAGCCAUCUCUUCCGCCUGGCGCCUGCUGCCGCUGACUGGGAGUUCGACACCAUUUCUUCGUUCUGAGGAGUAGUAGGUGGCAACAGUCGCCGAUCUGGUGAGCCUCCACUCGCUUCCCGUUGUAUACUCUGAUUUGUCAAAUCUUCUACUGGUUCUGGUUCAGAAGUAUUGACUUUGAAAGCUCACAAAUCCCUUUUUUCCCCUCUAUGCUGCCCGUUGUAUAUUAUGUUUUAGCGGUAUAUUUAGUCGCACG